UACGUAGGGACCAAGCGUUGUUCGGAUUUACUGGGCGUAAAGGGCGCGUCGGCGGCAAUUCAAGUCAUCUGUGAAAUCUCCGGGCUUAACCCGGAACGGUCAGGUGAUACUGUUUUGCUAGAGUGCGGAAGGGGCAAUCGGAAUUCUCGGUGUAGCGGUGAAAUGCGUAGAUAUCGAGAGGAAAACCAGAGGUGAAGACGGGUUGCUGGGCCGACACUGACGCUGACAGCGCGAAAGCCAGGGGAGCAAACGGG
rnacentral:rRNA from 1 species